UGUGCUAGGUGGGGAGCUAGCGGUGCCCUUAACCUGAGAUCCGCUACAGCAGGGCCGAAGGGUGCUUCUCGGCAAGCAGUAUGGAAGGCUGGGAAUAGUGUGUGAUGAAGAUAUCAAGGUCUUUUGGGAUAGUCAUUUGUGAACCGUGUCAGAGCUUAGCGGCAGCAGCACUAAGCGAAGUAGACUAUUUGCCUUAAGGUAGCUUUGAAGGAGUUAACUGCUAUU
rnacentral:SRP_RNA from 2 species